ACAGGCUUUGUUAGAGGUGAAGUACAAAACCAUUCAGACCACUAACGGCUGGUCCCGAACAGGCUGAUGACUCACAGAUGUUAAUUUACUGGUUUGAAGGGCCAAGAAGAGACGGAGCCUCCUUUAAUUUACAGGAAGCCAGCUGCGCUCACUCGGCCCCUUGCAUCACCCUUGUGACGGAGGCGGAAUGCAGCACGUGGUCCGGCGAUGAUGCAUGAGGUGGAACAGACCCCAGCGCACGUCUCGUCUAUCUAGAUGGGCUCCCAUACAAUAAAAUCCUUUCUUCCUUCGAGUUGGUGAAGAGGGGAGACGCACACUCGACCAUGUGUAACAUGGAAUUCCGUAACAUUGAGAGAGACCAGAUGGCUGGCAGCAGCCAGUCCAGAUCCAGGAAAGGCCCAGCCUCCUCAUACCUUCCUCAUUUUCAGUGAGCUAACAUGUUCUCUUGUGGAUGCUAUUGUUUUUUUAAUUGAACUGAAUUGACUAUAUUGUGGAGGUAAGGAGACACUUCCAAAUACAUAUCCAUGUUUGCAAAUAGCCUAUAUAAAGACCUGCAGUUUCUUGCCAAACGAGGCCUUGGUUUCCUGGCUGCAGCGAAUGCACUGCGGAGGCAAUUGCAGGCGACUGGGAAAGAGCACAGGCUCCGGCAGAAGACAGACAGCAGUUUGGGUCUGAUCCUGGCCAUUCUCCAGCCAUCAGUCCUUCGGCCUCUGAAAGCCACAGUUUCUUCACCUGUGGCAUGGAGCCGAGCACAGUGCCCAGGUCACAGAGUCUAACUGAACAUGGAUCGAAUAGGUGUCAUGUGACUCAUACUGUGUUGGAUACAGAGGGUGCACUCAACAACACUUCACUGCUGUUUUUAAUUUGAAAACCUAAGUGUGACUUUGGAUGUAGUGAGUAUAAGACUGUUGUGGAAGUUCACUCAAACUGUGGCACAUAGUGUUCUCCAAAGAUAUUAGGACACGGUGGCCCCUCUUGGUGUGUGCUAUUAAAAUCAUGACAUAAAGAUAAAGAUAAUUUUAGGUCUGAGUCUGCAAACUGCACAAAUCCUGACACCAAGCCUCUUGGGUGGAAGGGGAUUGGUUCCUACUGUAUAGAUGUGAAAUGUGGUUGUGGAAGUUCUAAUCGUGUGUUCACAGCUACAUUAUACAUUAGCAACAAAUAGAAACAUAUGUACCCUCUAGGAUUCCUUCCAAUGUUGGAUUCUUUCCACUCUGGGUUGCAGGUUUGGUACCUAUUCAGCGAUUUUGUACCACCUGAGCAAAACAAGAUCUUCCACAAACAGCCUCGCCAGUUGGCUUUCAAGCUGGUCAGCCAUUUAGCAGAAUCUUCUACACUGUCCAGCACACGCCCUAUACCAUGCUCUGAGGCCGGCUCCAAACCAGCACCCGUUAGGCAGUACACCACUGCACUGUCUUCAUGCAAGUCUUUUACUGUAUGACCCCACCUCACACUUUCCUUACCUAACUCCUUUCCUAACAGCCAAAAGUUUUCUAACAGCUUAAGUUGUGCUGUAAACCUGCACCUCUAACCACCCCUAGUUGGGCCAUACACGUGCGUUUAGUUCCAGGAUGUUGGACCCACAUAGCACUCCCUCUGAGCUUGGACUUGUUACCCAGAAUUCAGAUGAAGUGUUUUACUCAUCUUGCUGAGUAAAGAUGAGUAAAACUUGCUGGUGGCAACUGCCUAUGCUGACCAGUUGCCCAAAGAACCCAGGGAAAGGUAUUCUCAUGGCCACUUCAGCCACCCAUCAGCCAUCGGCACAUCAUUGCUCGUCUGUUGCCCUCUCACAACACAGAUUUCACUAUUGAGCGGCCAUCAGCUACAUAAUUUGUCUGCUGGCACUACCGGUGCCUGGCGCCGAGCCAUCAAAGCUGGCAGCAUGGAAUAUAUGUGGUCUUCACACUGGUUGCUUGUUCCGUUUUGGCGAGAUUAACACCAUAUCAUUGGGAAAGUGAACUUAAUUGGUUUUCUGGGAGUACUUAGUUAAGUCACCCCGCCUCAGCUCCAAGUUGAUUAAAGUGUAGCUUUGCCCUUUCCAACAAGCGUAGCAAAUAAAUGGUGGGGAAAUACUCCAAAAUGCACAUGGCCGGGUCCUCUCAUUCUUUCUUUUUUUUUCCUAGUGACUUUGGGGAGGUUUGGGCACUGAUCCUGCACACACAAUACUGUUCUUGUUCUUCUUUUCUCUACAGAGCAGCCUUGAAUAGCUCUGUCUAAAAGUAUAAGCAGGGGCAGCCCUAGGCUCCAAGAGAUCAGAGCCCUCAUGCUGGGCCAGAACAAAGACCCUGCUUUUCCCCAACAAUUAGCCCUGCAAAGAAGGACAUCUAUCUCCCUCUAUUAAAACCACCACGUGCCUUCAAGUCAGCCCAUUGUAAAGCUAAUUAAAUAACACGCCUCUCUCCCCAUGCAGGUCUCCUGAUUAGCUUUCCUCUCUGCAAAACCUCUGCAAAGCUCCUAGAGAUAGACAAGCCAGUGCUCCACUUCUUACAAGCUCCCCCAUCGGCCUUUGAAAAGCCAUCUUCUCCAUGGUAUUUCCUUGGUUCAUGCUGCAUAUUCAUCUCUAGCUCAGACCUAGAGUUACCUCCAGCUUCAUGGAAUAGUAUGAAAUUUCUUAUUUUUAAAAAUAAAUG